AUCAUGCUCCCUUUUGUCAAGCUCCAAGUGCAUAUCACCCGUCCACCCACUUCGCGUCCCUUCAUUGAAUGGGGCUCCCUUGUUUCUGUUACAUUAUGUUACGUCGCCUCCAACACCUUCAAAGGAUCGGCGUCGACAUGCCCUGCCAAAGGAUCCUGUCCUGCGGAAUAGGUGGUUGGAGUUCGUUGGUCCCCAGUGGUGACAACGUGCACAUUUGUGUGCCCGACUGAUCCCCUGGUCAUGAAUGGAUGCAGAGACCUACCAGAAAGAGCAAAGAUGGACUGGAGAUGCUUUUGCCAGACGGCAGCCUCAGUCGUUUGAUGGGGAGACCAUCAAUGGCAACAUGUAUGGAGCCAGCACGUGGAGGUUUGCAAGAUGAUCUGAUUAAAUUCAGACUGACAGAUGGGCUUGAUACUGAUGUCUGUGAAUGGAGAGAGACUUAGCACUCGGUAUUAACAUUUUACUAGACAACUUUUACUUGUAAUUGCCUUGCAUUAUUGAAUUGAAUGGUAUCAGUCAAUAUGGGGAGGGACAAACGCUGUGUAUUCUGCACCAGGAUCAGGGAACUCUUGUUGUAUAUGGGACACUACACAGGAAGGUAUGACCACUGACAUGUUUGCCAAGGCAGCCCCAUUACCACCAGACAAAAAUGCUGAUAGGCACAGUAUCUGUAUUACAAUGACAAAGAAACAUGAAAGGUGCAUGUUGUUAUAUCAACAGAACACUGCUUCUAUGGUAUUAUGUAAAGGGUUGUUUGUUCUACAUGGACUUUCUACUACAUUUGAAAGUGAUCAAAACACUUAUUUACGUAGAAUAUCUACAUAAAUUCAGCAAUUGCAUUCUUCUCAUACUACGCUGUAGGCUACUGACCUAUUCAAAGCAUCUCACCAUACAUGGGCCUGUUGUUAUUGAACUCAACCCGCAGGAGGUUUGUUUGUUGUGAUUGAGUGGGGGGAAACAGCCCGCGGGCAAGGUUCUGACAGAUGGGUGUCUUGGAGGUGUUAAGGACACACCCAAGAAACACCCACAUUAUACCACACCACUAAGCCAACUCACGUUUGGCUUAUGUCAUGGCCACCAACAUUUCUUCAGGAGCAAGCCAAGAAACAAAGCCAAAUCAGCGGGUGCAGUUCCCCUUUAUGUGUAUUCGGAAAGUAUUCAGACCCCUUGGCUUUUUCCACAUUUUGUUGUUACAGCCUUAUUCUAAAAUAUAUUAAAUAUUUUUUCCUCCCU